CACUCAGUCCAGGUCAGAGGUAAAUCAGGCGCACCCUGGCACCAUCUAACUCAUUGCACACCAGCCCCCACUCCUUCUAGAUCACUGACAGAAGUCAGGGCUGAUUUGAGCAGCCAAAACCAAAAUUUGACACCAAAAUGAAGAUGAAAUAGAAUUUGAACAACAGCUUUGAUGUAUUUAAUCGUGCACUAGAGGGGGACUAACAUUGUUUAAUUAACUGGCCAUAUAAUUAGUAUGCUAGAGGGGGAUGGUU